UCUGCUUCCUGAAAAUAUCAUUUUGAUAAAUUUCACAUAGAUUAAAAAAUUGCAAAAUAUAUUUAUGUAUUUUUAUUUAAUGUAUAAUUUAUAAAAUAAAAUAAUUAACUUAGAAAUUAUUGGUUAUUUAAGCAAAAAAAAUAUCAAUACUAUUAAAUUAGGAUCAUGACCCAUUGAUAUAUGUUGUGUCCAACUAAAUAUUUAAUUGACAUUAGACCUAUAUAUAUAUAUAUAAAUAUAACUGCAUAACUGUAAAUACUUUUUAUUAAUCCUCCACUUUAAUCCCAAAAAUCUCGGGACCCAUUUCAUUCAAAUUCAUAGAUUAGUAGACGGUUAUAUAUUGAUAAUAUUGAAAGUUUGAAACUUCCACUUCUAUUGAAUUCAUAAUAAAAGCAAACAAAACUGAAUGACCAUUAAAAUAAAUAAAUACUGACACAUUGCAAAGAAUAUAAAGCGGAUGAGAUUUCUUGAAGAAAUUGUUACGUUGUUUAGAGAAGGUGAUUUAUCGGUUACUUUUCAUGACCUAUUAACAGAAUAAAUAAUCAAUGUUUUGAAAACUAUAAACAACAAGAAAAACGUGUUUGGUCAAAAAAAAAAAAAACAAGAAAACGUAAAAAUUCAUCAGUUAUGAAAGUAUGGCGGCCAUUGAAAUGCUGCAGAGAAUUCUAAAAUAUACUUGGGAAAAUGGAAAAAAUUUACAAAAUUACCACUAAAAAGAAAAAAAAAAGAAACAAUACACACUACAAGAUUAUAUCUAUCGAAUACAAGAGUGUAAAAUGGGCCAAGCUUCCAACAGGCUACAAUAAUAUAUAUUAAUAAAUCUAUUUCCUAAUUUAAUACUAUAUAGCUACAUUUAUCUGAAACUUAAGAAGUAUAUUGUAAUAAAUGUUAAAUAUUUCUAAAUAUAUAUAAUAUUAAAACAUAAAUAUAUACACAAACCGAUGGAAAUAUAUUUCUUAAGUUUUUUUUACUAUAAAGUGAAGCUUUAAAAUUUAACUAAUAUUAAUAUUAAUUAGCGGUAGAAGCGGGUUAUUAACGACAUUUAAUUUUUAUGACGGGUUUAAGUAAACUUUUAAUAGAAAUAAAUAGUCAUAUAAACUUAUUUAUUUUAAUGUAUUUUAAAUAGGUUAUUCGAUUAAAAAUAUUUAUUAGCUAUGAUUUUACUUAAAGUUUGCAAAAACCAUAUUAACCUAUUUACAUAUAUAUAUAUACAGAAAAUAUAAAAAAUUUAGCAAAGACCAUAUUAAUCUAUUUUAACGUGAUUUUACUUAGAGUUUGUAAAGAUAAUAUUAACAUAUUUUCAUAACUAUGGAUAUGCCACAAGUGUAUAAAUAUACAACGUGACAUAUUAAAUAUAAUUACCAAAUAAUAUAUUAAAUUAAAUUAAUAUUUAACACAAAUAUGAUUACAAAAAUAUAAAUAUAAAAUUAAAGUUUUCAAAAAAAAAAAAAUUAAAAUAUAUUCGCUUUUUUCAAGGACGGGUGAGAAUCUAGUUAAGAUGUAAACUCAUAUCGAAAAUGUUGAAUGUAAUUCUUUUUUUUCGUGAGUGAUGGAAUGUAAAUUUUUUGAAAAAAAAAGACAAUAAUUAUAUCUUUUUUAUGUAACGGAAGGAAAGGAGUAUGAUAAAACAUAAAAUCAAUAUAUGCACAAUUGAUAUAAGAAUCUCAAUACUAAAAGAGUUUACAACCCGAGUCAACUCAAACCCACAAAGGAGCAACUAAUCGAUUCUAAAAGGGAGAUUUUUCUUUUUUUUUAUCAAUGCUAAGGUUUACGACACGCUGGUCACGUACGUAGACUUUAAAAGAAGACGGGUUGAACUAACCUAACGCGUAAAGAGAGUUCUAACACCUAGGCUGCAUUAUAGGCUCUACAAAGGCUAUAACGUGUCUCCUUUAUACUUUUUAUUGAUCACACACGUAAAAGUCAGUUCCCAUGGCCUUUUCAGAGAUCCGGUUGAUUAAAUUAUGCAUUGUUUUUUUUUUCCUUAUAUUGCAAUGCUUUAUAUAUCAAAAUUCACUUCCCAAUAUAUUUUUUUGUAAAG
rnacentral:lncRNA from 1 species